rnacentral:RNase_P_RNA from 1 species
CAAUCACUUCGAGAUGAUCGCUGGUGCCGGCAUUUCGCCGUCACGAGAGGAAAGUCCGAGCUUCACAGGGCAUGGCGCUGGUUAACGACCAGUCGAGGUAACUCGCAGGACAGUGCAACAGAAAACAAACCGCCUGCUUGCAGGUAAGGGUGAAACGGUGCGGUAAGAGCGCACCGCUCCGAUGGUGACAAAGGAGGCUAGGCAAACCCCGCCAGAAGCAAGACCGCACAGGGGUCGCGCGGCUCGCGCAAUGACUCCGGGUUGGUCGCUUGAGCGUGCCGGUAACGGUACGCCUAGAGGAAUGAUCAUCCCCGUAAGGGAACAGAACUCGGCUUACAAGAGUGUUAGGUGA